AGCAGUAGCCGCGGUAAUACGUAGGUGGCAAGCGUUGUCCGGAAUUAUUGGGCGUAAAGGGCUCGCAGGCGGUUUCUAAGUCUGAUGUGAAAGCCCCCGGCUCAACCGGGGAGGGUCAUUGGAAACUGGGAAACUUGAGUGCAGAAGAGGAGAGUGGAAUCCCACGUGUAGCGGUGAAAUGCGUAGAGAUGUGGAGGAACACCAGUGGCGAAGGCGACUCUCUGGUCUGUAACUGACGCUGAGGAGCGAAAGCGUGGGGAGCGAACAGGAUUAGAUACCCGGGUAGUCCCUGUCUCUUAUACA
rnacentral:rRNA from 1 species